CUCUCACCCACUCCCGCCCGGUAAACCCCCGUGUACUCACAUUCUGCGGUGCCGGUGCUCGGUGGCCGCGCUGCGGGUCCCGGCUGCCGGUCUCCCAGGGAGCUAUACCAUGCAAGCUUGCAGAGCCCGCUGGGGACAUCAGAGCAUCAAUCGGACAGCAAGGAGGCAGUAGCAAAGAAAAUAAUUAGAAGAAUUUUCCAGCAUAACAAGGAAAGGAAGGAUGAAAGGAAGAAUGUUGUGAAAAAUAAUAUUACACACCAGAAGAAAACAUCUGGUAUAUAUGGACCAUGAUGACCACAAGCUGGACCCUCAAAUGAACCAUGAUGUGCGAUACACUCCUAGGAGGUCAAAA